rnacentral:rRNA from 1 species
GAUCAUGGCUCAGGAUGAACGCUAGCUACAGGCUUAACACAUGCAAGUCGAGGGGCAGCAUGAGGUCAGCUUGCUGACUUUGAUGGCGACCGGCGCACGGGUGCGUAACGCGUAUCGAACCUGCCUCAUACUCGGGGAACAGCCUUGCGAAAGUAAGAUUAAUGCCCGAUGUUCUGGUUUCCCCCGCAUGAGGAGUCCAGCAAAGAAAUUCGGUAUGAGAUGGCGAUGCGUCCCAUUAGCUAGUUGGCAGGGUAACGGCCCACCAAGGCAUCGAUGGGUAGGGGUUCUGAGAGGAAGGUCCCCCACAUUGGAACUGAGACACGGUCCAAACUCCUACGGGAGGCAGCAGUGAGGAAUAUUGGUCAAUGGACGGAAGUCUGAACCAGCCAAGUAGCGGGCAGGAUGACGGCCCUCCGGGUUGUAAACUGCUUUUAGUUGGGAAUAAAGUGCGGGACGUGUCCCGUUUUGUAUGUACCAUCAGAAAAAGGACCGGCUAAUUCCGUG